GUCCUUCGCGGCGGGCUGUAGUUGCCGGGUACUGGAGGUCAGGAAUGCUCAUGCAACAGCCACCACGAAAUGCUAAGAAAGCGCCAAAAGCGGCGAGACUAACAUGAGAUCACAAACACACAUGCCUCACAUGGCUUUUUAAAUUGCACUUCCGCCGAUCUGACACGUUCCAAAUUGUGACGAAGGCGCGUGGAAAGCACCCAAAAGACGCUCUGUCCGUUUUGUCCUACAAGGGCGCCCGGGCGUUUGACAGCGGCAGGAAGCGGAGUGCGCAGGCCCGACGGUUGAACUGCCGGAGGAGGACUACAUGAGACGAUAGAGACUUGUCACUUUCUCCGAGGGAAACCAAGCUCCGACAUGAGGAAGGACGUGAGGAUACUACUCGUCGGGGAACCCAAAGUUGGGAAGACAUCACUGAUUAUGUCUCUGGUCAGUGAAGAGUUCCCUGACGAGGUUCCCCUCCGAGCUGAAGAGAUUACCAUCCCGGCUGACGUCACCCCAGAGAGGGUCCCCACACAUAUUGUGGACUACUCAGAAGCAGAACAGUCAGAUGAGCAGCUGUAUCAAGAAAUAUCUAAGGCAAAUGUUAUCUGCAUAGUUUAUUCAGUCAACAACAAGACGUCUAUUGAAAAGGUGACAAGCCACUGGAUUCCCCUCAUAAAUGACAGAACGGACAAAGAUAGCAGGGUACCAUUAAUCCUUGUGGGGAACAAGUCGGACCUGGUGGAACACAGCAGCAUGGAGACCAUCCUGCCCAUCAUGAAUCAAUACCAGGACAUUGAGACCUGUGUAGAAUGCUCUGCCAAAAACCUCAAGAACAUCUCUGAGCUGUUUUAUUAUGCUCAGAAGGCCGUUCUUCACCCAACAGGACCCCUGUACUGCCCAGAGGAGAAGGAGCUGAAGCCUUCUUGCAUUAAGGCUUUAACUAGAAUCUUUAAAGUGUCUGACCUGGACAAUGACGGCGUCCUUAAUGACAAUGAGCUCAACUUCUUCCAGAGAACGUGUUUCAAUACACCACUGGCACCACAGGCCUUAGAGGAUGUAAAGAACGUGGUGAGGAGGAACAUGACAGACGGAGUCAAGGCCAACGGACUCACACUGAAAGGCUUCCUGUUCCUGCACACCCUCUUCAUACAGCGAGGUCGACACGAGACCACCUGGACUGUGCUGAGGAGGUUUGGUUACGACGAUGACCUGGAGCUCACGCAGGAAUACCUGUUCCCGAUAGUAAAGAUCCCUGCAGACUGCACCACUGAGCUCAAUCACAACGCUUACCUCUUCCUUCAGAGUGUGUUUGACAAGCAUGACAAAGAUAGAGAUUGUGCACUGUCGCCAGAGGAGGUGAAGGACUUGUUCAAAGUGUUUCCCUACAUGCCAUGGGGUCCGGAUGUCAACAACACAGUUUGCACUAACGAUCAAGGAUGGAUCACAUACCAGGGAUACCUCUCGCAGUGGACGUUAACAACAUAUCUUGAUGUACAGCGUAGUUUAGAGUAUUUAGGUUACCUGGGCUACUCCAUCAUCUAUGAACAGGAGUCCCAAGCAGCUGCCAUUACAGUGACACGCAACAAGCGCAUUGAUCUGCAGAAGAAACAGACCCAACGCAGCGUCUUUCGCUGCAACGUUUUGGGGGCGCGGGGCUCUGGGAAGAGCGGUUUCCUCCAAGCGUUCCUGGGCAGAAAUCUACAGUAUCAGAGGCGGAUUAGAGAAGACCACAAGUCCUUGUUUGCCAUCAGCACAACCUAUGUUUAUGGUCAGGAGAAGUACCUGCUGCUCCACGAGGUGAUGCCAGAUUUUGACUUUCUGUCAGAGGCGGACUUAGCCUGCGAUGUGGUCUGCCUGGUGUACGACAUCAACAGUCCACGCUCUUUUGAAUACUGUGCCAAAGUGUACAAGCAAUACUUCAUUGACAGCAAGACGCCGUGUGUGGUGAUCGCUACCAAGUCAGACCUGCACGAAGUACGGCAGCACUACAGCCUUUCACCGCACGAGUUCUGCCGUAAGCACAAGCUCCACCCGCCCCAGCCGUUCACGUGUAAUUCGACUGACGCGCCCAACAAAGACAUCUACACAAGACUCACCACCAUGGCCAUGUAUCCCCACAAUCGUCUUCGGUGCAUGUGUGCCUGCAACAGGUGCACCUAUUGCCUGUGUCAGAACCUCCUCAAGUUGGAGCUGCUGCGCAAUAUUAAGGCCCAACUCCGCAGGGUUGUUUUCAACAGGUGUUCAUACCCAUGUUUCUGGCUGUCCCUCUUCCUCUUCCUCUUGCAUGUGUUCACCCUCUGCUAAUCUGCCUGUUGUUUCUGUUGCACGGCUCACCUGUUCUCCACCUUUCACUGGGUAACCUGUCGCAUGCCUCAGUAAAACACCGCCAUCUACUGGCAUCUGGGAACCAUUGUUUUUCUUCAGUCCAUUACCACAGUAAAGGGAGCUUGGUGUUUAGAAGUAAGACAGGAGGUUUAUUGUACCAAAAAACUGGGUUUGAAUGGCUGUUGAUAGUGUUGGAUUGCAGGGUUUUGUAUGUUUAAUGAUUUUGUUCAAAACUGCCUUUGUGCUGAUGUCUUUUUCAUCCCUAAUACCAUUAAUAGCAUGACACUAAACAGGCCAGUCUUGGCAGUGCAAGGUGCCAACACACCACAUUGAAUGCCUAAUGUGUUGUCUGACGUUAUCUCAUUUUAAUUUGACAUGGUAGGCAUUCAUUUCACAUUGUAAUCAAAGUCAUCUUGCAUUGUGUGCAAUAAGGAAAUUACAAAAAAAAUUAAAUAAACACUUACAAAUUACGUCAACAAAAUUCCAAGCAACAAAAGUAUUAAGCCACUCCAGAACCACUGUGUUCAAAAAGAUGAGAGCCAGAAAUGCAAGUCCCUGGAGACUUAAUAUGAUUCAAAAAAUAAAUACAUAACUGCUGCCCAUCAGUUUCUGUAAAAUAUGCAAAAGAGAUAAAGUAGAGAUGUAAUAUAUAUCCAGAGAGGGAGAGGAACAUAACUUCUUUUUAAAUUUAAUUUACCCAGCAACAGACGGAUAUACAGCAUUUCUAGUCUGGCUGCCAUGUGGUGUGUACAGUUUGGAGAUGUGAUGUGUGUGUGUGUGGGUGUGGGUGUGGGUGUGUGGCUUUUCAUAGUUUGAAGUGUGCAGUGACAAUUGGCCAGGUGUGAUCCCAAUCGUGGUUGAGCUUGUGCUUUUAAGGGUAUAAAUGGUGAUUGAAGUUUCUACGUUUUCGGGCUGGUUAGAGCUGGGAGAUACUGAUGAAAUGAAGGCUGUGAGUGUGGGGGGCACUGCCUGCUCUCAGAGGAGGAUUUCAGCCUGACACAGCAGGUUUCAGCUGUUCUCCAGAGUGGAGGGGUCCAUCUUUAUGGAGGACUUUGCUGAGCAGCUAACUCUCCUAAACAGGCACAUGGCUCAGGCAGAUCUGAAGAACUCCACUUUCUGGCUGAGAGCGAGCGUCGGCGCCACCGUGUUUGCCGUGCUGGGGUUCGCCAUGUACAGAGUGCUGCUCA